GACGAACGCUGGCGGCGUGCUUAACACAUGCAAGUCGAACGGAAAGGCCCUGCUUUUGUGGGGUGCUCGAGUGGCGAACGGGUGAGUAACACGUGAGUAACCUGCCCUUGACUUUGGGAUAACUUCAGGAAACUGGGGCUAAUACCGGAUAGGAGCUCCUGCUGCAUGGUGGGGGUUGGAAAGUUUCGGCGGUUGGGGAUGGACUCGCGGCUUAUCAGCUUGUUGGUGGGGUAGUGGCUUACCAAGGCUUUGACGGGUAGCCGGCCUGAGAGGGUGACCGGCCACAUUGGGACUGAGAGACGGCACAGACUCCUACGGGAGGCAGCAGUGGGGAAUAUUGAACAAUGGGCGGAAGCCUGAGGCAGCAACGCCGCGUGCGGGAAGACGGCCUUCGAGUUGUAAACCGCGUUCGCCUGAGACGAAGCGUGAGUGACGGUAAUGGGUAAAGAAGCACCGGCUAACUACGGG
rnacentral:rRNA from 1 species